CUUGAAGAAGCGUUUUGUCUACAUGGACAGAAAUUGCUCCCUUAAGGGCGCGCUUUAUGUCCACAUGGACAAAACGCUUCUUCAAGG
rfam:Gossypium raimondii Chr05_contig_991, whole genome shotgun sequence.